CUCGCGAUCUUUACAUAUCGUUUUUUCCAGGGGCAGCCAUGGCAGGGAGGGGAGGCGAUGCUGCGCUCCGGCGGCGGCGCCGCAUCAGGCGGCUGCAGGGAGGUGGGAGCCGCACGCGGAGACGGAGGGGGAUAUAAUGAAGAGGCAUGGAUGAGAGGCGGGCGAGCGGGAAGGGCCGGGGCAUCGCCCAUGAUGCAGGCGAGCGGGAAGGGCGGCGGCCUUGCGGUGGCGCAGUCGGCGAGGCCCUGUCGGAUCUUGCCGGGUCCGGUCAGAAACGGCGCGCAGGCGGUGGAUCUGCAAGGAAGGCGGCCGGAGCUUGGAGCACAACGGCUGGCGCGUGCGGCAUGGCCGGUGUCGGGUACCCGUCAGAGAAGAGAGAGAUGCGCGGGAGAUAAAAGAGAGGAUGGGAGGCCGGAGGAAGAGAGAAGGGAGUGGUAGUCAUGCUGCUGCUCGCCGGUGGCUAGCCGGAAUUGCAGCCCCGCGCAUCACGUGGUGACAAGGCCCAGGUCUUCUUGACCCGUUGCCUCAUUCUUUCUCAGUAGAACAUUAUUUUUCGUUGGUCUUGCAGAUGUAUUCAUGUGUAGUUUUUAGAUCUUGCAAAUUAGGGAUUUUGGUAAUAUGCGCUGAUCUCUUUAUGUGUUGAGUGGCCAGCCUGCAGUUCCCCCGCUCAUAUUCGAACAGGCACAAAUUCAGCUCUGAUCGAUCUCUGCAUCCAUCUGGAAACUGAAGUACUAUCAUGGUAAAAAUCUAGGCUGGAUUGCUAGCUUCCUCCAAGGGCAAGAUCGCCGCCACUGCCAGCACUAAGAAAACAACUGGCGAUGGCAAGGCGGCCAAGGUCUUCUCCCAAACCGGCCAGAAGUUUGAAACACCAGAGGAGGUAGUAAUUCAAUCAUCUUACAUUCAUCUGUGCUGACAACCUUUUGGUACAUCGUGGUAGUGUUAUUUUUAUAAAGAGUUAUUUUAAAACCGAAGGGGAGCCUUGGCGCAGUGGUAAAGCUGCUGCCUUGUGACCAUGAGGUCAUGGGUUCAAGUCCUGGAAACAGCCUCUUACAGAAAUGUAGGGAAAGGCUGCGUACUAUAGACCCAAAGUGGUCGGACCCUUCCCUGGACCCUGCGCAAGCGGGAGCUACAUGCACCAGGUUGCCCUUCCUUCUUAUUUUAAAACCCUUGAUACUCUUCGCAGAUCGAGCGGCAAGACACGGGGCCUCAACAUGCAUGGGUUGUCUUUUGUUGAGUCAUACUUGAAUUUGCCUCCACAAAAGUCACACGUGAAUUAUGAAGUUAACUACCAUGAUGUCUAGGUACUUAUUGCUGCCGCUGCUCACAGGUUAUUUUGAUGGUGUUUUUCGCUGAGCGUCUUGCAUGGCCAAUCCUUCCAAAUUUCAAUAUAUGCAUUCAUGUUUCUCUUAACUUCUAACUUCUAAGGCACCAAGACUGGACAUUCCUAUGGCGACUCUCCCAUUUAUGGUCAAUAAAGUUGUUCAUAUGUGUUUUUUUAGUGCUCCCCUAAAUAUCUAAAGAAAAAUUGUUUUUAUCAUCGGCUAUACCAGAUAAUUCAAAUAGUCCCUAAUCUUGCACAUGCCUUUUUUGUUUAAGUUUGUCUUUUGUAUGAGAUAAUUUGGAGAAAUUUAUGUUGUUUCUGGUGGCAAAGAGCAACAUGAACUAUUGUUGCAAGUCCACCAUAUUUUCUCAAAUUUUAUAAGCUAUUCAUUGGCAUGUAUUUUAUUAGUUUUAUUAGUGCUUCCAUUACUUUCUAUUAAAAUAUGCUUAAUGGGCUAGAGACUGUACCUUUUCAAAAAGUUACAGUGUGUGGUAUGUUUGCUGAAGUUGUGAUGGCAGUUCUUCAGGCAGGACCUUCGUCCAUAUAGAUUUUCUCUUUAAACAUCAUUAUAUUUUGGACAAAUGAUGUGCUUACUGAAUUGUCGUUGUUUAUUUUUUGAAGUUAUGCCAUUCAUAAUAUUGCAUUGUAGAUAGACAAAAAGAUAUAGGUAUUGAUUUUUGUGGCUCUAGCAUAAAUGUUUAUCACCACGGUGACAUUUCUUGUUCAAUUUAGAUAAGGGAAAAAACAAGUAUUAAACAGAAAGUAGAGAGGAUAAGAGCAUUGUAGUCCAGGGUGGUUCAUGCCAAAGACUGUAACAAAAUAAUUUCUUAUGAUAGUGCAAAUCAUUGAUGAUGCAGCAGAAGUAACACAAGUUCUGCUAGAAUUUCUCUCAGAUAACAUGGAUAGAGGUGAGUUUUGCAUAAUCCAUCUAUGUAAGAAGCUUGCAUUGAGUAAUUCUUUUCAAGAAGCUUACCAUGCAUAACUACAUGAUACUUGCAGAUCUUAGUGUCAAUUGACAGCGACAUUCUUCAAUGGGAAACCCUGCAUAUAAUUGUCUUGAGUACAGCAAUACAUGAUUUUGUGGCAAUAAAAUGGUCAUGAUUAAUGCAUAAUGUGUGCUCUGUCCGCAUUUUAAUUAUUUAUAUUAAUAUUUCUGGUUAUCACUGCAGGAGUUGCAAUGGAGUUGAUGAGGUAAGUCUGCAAUGCAGACUGCUAAAUGGUAACCACUCCAGAUUUUAUGGACAGUAAAUGGUCCACUGCUAUUGACAGGUGCGUUCCUGCACUCUUCUGACCCAGAUUUGGCAUGAUUUCCAUUUUUUACAAUCAUUGUGUAGUUGCACAAAAAUGAAUACUACUUGGAAAUACGUAAGAGCAUUGCUCAAAACUCACAAACAGACACAACUUUGAAUCAACGAUUUUAUUUAGACAAUGAAACAGUGUUUUUCGACUGAAAAAUCUGUAGUAUAUUUUGAAUUUUAAAUGUAUACACCAAGAAAACAUAGUUCUCUUCAAUUGAAAUUUAAAUUCAUGUUUUGGAAAUCAAAACCAUCUGAAAUUUCAUGAGUUCCGGCUAGAAUGAUUAAUGCUACACCGCUGCUAAUGCCAAAGGUUGUGGCACCUUUGUUUAAUGAUAGUGCAAAUUGAUUGGUCAUGCAGCCAUUGCAACGCAAGUAGUACAAGUUCAUCAUGUGCACCGCCCAUCCAUGAAUUCUUUUUAUCAUUGUUUCUCCCUUCGCAAUGCACGGGCACAUAGUAGGAGAGAUAUGUGUGGUUGGUGGGUGCUAAAUGGUCGUCCCCUCGAAGACAUGGACAAGGUGCGUGUGGUUCACAAUGCGACCUCAUGUCUUACCACGUCAACCAGCCGAUGCUCAUCAUCAGACAUGCUCUUCUCCUAGACGUCAUUGGGAAGAAGCCCAUCUCUUUUGAUCCAUUUGUGCCCUUCACUAAUGCACGUGGAGUCGGACUGAGAGUUUCUCAGGGGUGUGACACAAACUACUUGAGUUUAAACUAAUUUUCGUAUCUACUAAAAUUUUCUUUAAAAAAUUUAAAGUAUGCUACUGCUUAUUUUUUUAUUGUUCAGGUAGAUUCUAGCACGAGUGUUUACCUUUAUUCUGCAUGUAAUGAGAAUGUUGUGGCUAAUAGGUUUAAAAUUGUCA